rnacentral:rRNA from 1 species
GAUUAACGCUGGCGGCGUGCAUAACACAUGCAAGUCGAACGAUGAAACUUAAAUGAUUUCUUCGGAAUGAACUUAAGUGGAUUAGUGGCGGACGGGUGAGUAACGCGUGAGUAACCUGCCUUACACAAGGGGAUAGCCGUUGGAAACGACGAAUAAUACCCUAUGAAACUAUCACUUCGCAUGAAGCGAUAGUCAAAGUGUUAGCGGUGUAAGAUGGACUUGCGUCUGAUUAGCUAGUUGGUGAGAAAAAAGCCCACCAAGGCAACGAUCAGUAGCCGGCUUUGGAGAGUGUACCGGCACAUUGGGACUGAGACACGGGCCAGACUCCUACGGGAGGCAGCAGUGGGGAAUUUUGCACAAUGGGGGGAACCCUGAGGCCGCGAGGCCGCGUGAUUUAGAAGGCCUUCGGGUUGUAAAAAACUUUUGUAUAGGAAGAAAAUGACAGUACUAUACGAAUAAGGUCCGGCUAAUUACGUG